rnacentral:rRNA from 1 species
GCAUCGAUGAAGAACGCAGCCAGUUGCGAUAAGUAGUGUGAAUUGCAGAAUUCAGUGAAUCAUCGAAUCUUUGAACGCAAAUUGCGCUUUCCGGAUAUCCGGGGAGCAUGCCUGUCUGAGCGUCGUUUAAUAAUCUACACACCUCGGUGUGGGUAGGGAGUUCAUGUGACCUGUUUUUCAGGACACCUGUCUCUCGAUGUGUCUGAACCUUGCUCGUACUUGCUUAUGUACUUGCUUGGAAGGCUCAACUUGCUUCUGUCCUUCUAAAGCUUCGUACUUGCUCGUUAAGCUUGUGUUCUCUGAGAGCUUUCGCGAGUUCUCGCUCACAAUUUUGACCUCAGAUCAGACAAGACUACCCGCUGAAUUUAAGCAUAUCAAUAAGCGGAGGA